AUUCAGCAACACAAACCGGAAGAACAUUUCCCCUAAUCAAAUAUCAAAAGCUAGGUUCUUGAUUUUCCGUACGAUAAGGAUCCUGAUUUGCAUAUCAAUAACCUCGCUCGGAUACCAAUUAUUAGGUCCAAAGUAUCGUAGAAGGGGGGUUGAAUACGAUACUCACUGUAAUUUAAAAUUCUUUCGAAUCUUGCGGAUAAACAAAUUGCAGUUCUGUAAUGGGUUUCGUGUUCCGGAUAUUUAUUGGGUCGGUUUCUGAGGAUAUGAAAAUAUUAAACCAACAAACAAUAUUUUCCGGGUCGGUUUCUGAGGAUAUGAAAAUAUUAAACCAACACACAAUAUUUUCCAAGGUAUAUCUGUAUAUUGAUAAAUACCUCGAAGGGUGCUAUAAAUCCAAACCCGAAGGUUGGCUACAAUGACUAUUGAUACAAACACUACAACCCCUAGCUUCUAAAAAUAUAUUUCUUUUGGUGUGCUAAGCUAAGGGGUUGUGUGGAGAGAGUUUGUACAAUAUGUG
rnacentral:lncRNA from 1 species